rnacentral:tRNA from 2 species
AUAAAGUUAGUUAAAUAAUAUAAUAUAAGGUUGUCAACCUUAAAUUGCUAAUGAUUAGUACUUUUUA